ensembl:lncRNA
CAAGUAGUCGCCUGAUGACAAGAGCUCUGAAGGCGAUGGAGGAGGCAGAGUGGAUGAAGAAACAACUGGUAAACCAAGAGUCAGCAUCAAAUGUCGAAACAGAGAAUAGUGUAUCUUUUUCUGAUGUUACAAUGCCUGAAACAACAGAUGUAGACAACCAUAUCCCUGCACAGAAGAUGCCAACUACAGCAAGAUGUGAUCUGAAAGAGGACUCAAAAAGUAGCAUACGCACCCAGUUAUCAUCAGAUCUUCUGAGUUGUAAAGAUGAUGCAAAUUUAGUCAAAUCUGAAGAUGAAGCUUCUUUGAUAUCUCAAGCACCUGUUGCCUUUCAUUCAUCCAAAUUCAAACAAGAGAGUCAUGCUUCCGAUUCAUCUUCUAGUUCUACUCCAUCUUUGCGUUUAAAGAUGGAAGAUGUGGAAAACAUGAAAGAAAUAACCUUCAAAUCACUAACAAAUGAACAGAGUGGCCAGCCUUUGUCAUUUCAUCCUGAUGCAAACUAUAAGUUUAGCACAUUCCUAAUGAUGCUCAAGGAUAUGCACGACAGCCGGGAAAAAGAUGGAACUACAUUGGAGAUAGAACCGUUACCCAUAAAUGAACUUAUUAAAGAGGAGCCAUCAUUGAUUCUGGACGUAAAAGAUGAGAUGAAUACAAUAAACACAGUGAAUCAACAAAAAUGUCAACUGGGCAAAACUCCAUCAAAACAGAAAAAGAAACCAAAGUCUGGGACAAAUAUGAUCCCGGAAAUUCACCUAACCUCUACUGUGUCAAAAAAUACUCAAAGACCUAGCAAAAAAAAUUGUUCAAAAAAGAAAACCACUGAGAUCACAGCAAAUAUCCACUCAAAAGAUACAUUUGAUGAACUGGUAUCUGAGCACCAACCGCCCUCACAAGAACCAGACACCAAGUUCUCGGCUAAUGUGCCUAAAAAGCGUUGGCAAAAGUUUGACCAAGUCAAUGAUAAAACAUUAAAUGUAGUUGAAGGUACUUGUAUUCAAGAAACAGAACAGUUACUCUCAGAAAAUUGUGACGUUUUGGUGCGUGAUACAAAUAAGUCUUGUCCCUUUGUGCCUGGGAAGGAAACUACAAUCAAUGCAUCUGAAAAUACUCAAGGCAACUGUCAAAAAAAUGACAUCCCAACAGAAUGCAAACGUAU